GCCAGGUUGGCUCAGUUGGCUAGGCAUCUGACUUCAGCUCAGGUCAUGAUCUCAUGGUUCGUGAGUUCAAGCCCCGCAUCAGGCU
rnacentral:tRNA from 1 species